GCUGGGUGUGGUGGCUCACGCCUGUGAUCCCAGCAAUUUGGGAGGCUGAGGUGGGUGGAUCACCUGAGGUCAGGAGUUCAAGACCAGCCUGGCCAAUAUGGUGAAACUCCAUCUCUA
rnacentral:SRP_RNA from 1 species